rnacentral:lncRNA from 1 species
UCUAAGAACUGGUAGUCACUGAAGGCGUGGUGGCCACACUCGUGUGCGAUGACCCACACGCCGGUGAGGGUGCAGCCCUGGAGGAUCCAAUAGACUGGCCAUGCGAUGUAGGAGAGGGGAUGAGGGAUGAGGUGGAAGUAAGAGGUGGCGAUGUGGUAGAAGAGAGAGACCAAGACGAGGUCGUAGAUGACAUAGGAGAAGGAGUGGAGGAGAGAGCGCUUGAAGAAAUGUGGAGCUACGGCUUUCUUGAGUUGGCUCAGAGUGAAUGGCGGAGUCGAAACCGGCAGCCUUUGACGUGUCCUUUUUUGCUCUUCGAAC